GACGAACGCUGGCGGCGUGCCUAAUACAUGCAAGUUGAGCGCUGAAGGUUGGUACUUGUCCCAACUGGAUGAGCAGCGAACGGGUGAGUAACGCGUGGGGAAUCUGCCUUUGAGCGGGGGACAACAUUUGGAAACGAAUGCUAAUACCGCAUAAAAACUUUAAACACAAGUUUUAAGUUUGAAAGAUGCAAUUGCAUCACUCAAAGAUGAUCCCGCGUUGUAUUAGCUAGUUGGUGAGGUAAAGGCUCACCAAGGCGAUGAUACAUAGCCGACCUGAGAGGGGGAUCGGCCACAUUGGGACUGAGACACGGCCCAAACUCCUACGGGAGGCAGCAGUAGGGAAUCUUAGGCAAGGGACGAAAGUCUGACCGAGCAACGCCGCGUGAGUGAAGAAGGGUUUCGGAUCGUAAAACUCUGUUGGUAGAGAAGAACGUUGGUGAGAGUGGAAAGCUCAUCAAGUGACGGUAACUACCCAGAAAGGGACGGCUAACUACGUG
rnacentral:rRNA from 1 species